rnacentral:tmRNA from 1 species
GGGGGUGUUUUUGGCAUUCGAUAAGUAAGUGUUUGGAUCCAACCACAGCCGUGAAGGAACACGUUAAAACCACUUAAUUUUAAACGCUAAAACUAGAAUUGCUAAUGUAUUUGGUGCAAACCAAAGCAUGGCUUUUGCUGCCUAAUUUAGACUAAGUUUGUCUUGCAGCCCGGAUCCGCGAGUUUGCUUUCUUAUAGCGGAUCACGUGUCAAACAAAGAAGAUCGGAAUAAGUGUGGAUCUGUUCCUUAUUCCUAAAAACGCAGAUCAAAACCUAUGCUGGUUCUGUCCACCGAUCGCAUAGGAUAUAUAGAUGGACUAAGCUGUAAACGUUGGAUCGUGGAGCCUUGCUUAGACAGGAGUUCGAUUCUCCUCACCUCCACCA